rnacentral:tRNA from 2 species
GCAGUCGUGGCCGAGUGGUUAAGGCGCUGGACUAGAAAUCCAUUGGGGUCUCCCCGCACAGGUUCGAAUCCUGUCGACUGCG